rnacentral:rRNA from 1 species
AUUGAACGCUGGCGGCAUGCCUUACACAUGCAAGUCGAACGGUAACGCGGGGCAACCUGGCGACGAGUGGCGAACGGGUGAGUAAUGCAUCGGAACGUGCCCAGUAGUGGGGGAUAGCCCGGCGAAAGCCGGAUUAAUACCGCAUACGACCUGAGGGUGAAAGCGGGGGAUCGCAAGACCUCGCGCGAUUGGAGCGGCCGAUGGCAGAUUAGGUAGUUGGUGGGGUAAAGGCCUACCAAGCCUGCGAUCUGUAGCUGGUCUGAGAGGACGACCAGCCACACUGGGACUGAGACACGGCCCAGACUCCUACGGGAGGCAGCAGUGGGGAAUUUUGGACAAUGGGCGCAAGCCUGAUCCAGCCAUACCGCGUGCGGGAAGAAGGCCUUCGGGUUGUAAACCGCUUUUGUCAGGGAAGAAAUCUUCUGGGCUAAUACCUCGGGAGGAUGACGGUACCUGAAGAAUAAGCACCGGCUAACUACGUGCCAGCCGCCGCGGUAACAC